rnacentral:sRNA from 1 species
GCUGGGCACAGUGGCGCAUGCCUGUAAUCCAAGCGGCUCUGGAAGCUGAGGCAGGAGGAUCGCAAGUUCAAAGCCAGCCUUAACAAGAGUGAGGCAAUUCAGUGAGACCCUGUCUCUA